GACGAACGCUGGCGGCGUGCCUAAUACAUGCAAGUUGAGCGCUGAAGGUUGGUACUUGUACCAACUGGAUGAGCAGCGAACGGGUGAGUAACGCGUGGGGAAUCUGCCUUUGAGCGGGGGACAACAUGUGGAAACGAAUGCUAAUACCGCAUAAAAACUUUAAACACAAGUUUUAAGUUUGAAAGAUGCAAUUGCAUCACUCAAAGAUGAUCCCGCGUUGUAUUAGCUAGUUGGUGAGGUAAAGGCGCACCAAGGCGAUGAUACAUAGCCGACCUGAGAGGGUGGUCGGCCACAUUGGGACUGAGACACGGCCCAUACUCCUACGGGGGGCAGCAGUAGGGAAUCUUCGGCAAUGGACGAGAGUCUGACCGAGCAACGCCGCGUGAGUGAAGAAGGUUUUCGGAUCGUAAAACUCUGUCGGUAGAGAAGAACGUUGGUGAGAGUGGAAAGCUCAUCAAGUGACGGUAACUACCCAGAAAGGGACGGCUAACUACGUG
rnacentral:rRNA from 1 species